CUCACCGUGCUCGGGAACAGUCAUGUCUCCCUGAAGAAGUACGACUGUGGAUGACUCUGCAGCAGACCCGCGUGUCUCCUGGGACCCGUGCGUACACAAGACAGAGCCAUGCUGGUCUGGCACGCUGUACCGAAGUCCACCUGCCCAAACUGAGACCAUACUGCAAACUUCCUUGAAACUUGGAAGAAGGAAUACAAGAGCUUCUCACUCUCAGCCCAAAAUGAAGAAUCUCUCAAACGCAAACUACAGCUCAACCAAGGAUCAAUUCGCACCUGCCAUGUGAGAAGUGAGAAGCGGAAGUACAUGGUGAGACUAGAGGCCCGAUGCACAAAAUUCGUGCAAGCAGCUCGGACCUCACAGCCCUGGAUGCCUCAGCCAGCCCUCACAGCCCCUCACAGCCUCAGCUGGCCCUCGCAGCCC